rnacentral:rRNA from 1 species
CAAUAGCGUAUAUUAAAGUUGUUGCAGUUAAAAAGCUCGUAGUUGGACCUUGGACCUGGACAGGCGGUCCGCCUCACGGCGUGUACUGUCUUGCUGGGUCUUUCCUCUUGGUGAUCUGUUGUUUCGGCAGCAGGGAACCAGGACUUUUACUUUGAAAAAAUUAGAGUGUUCAAAGCAGGCUCGACGCCGGAAUAUAUUAGCAUGGAAUAAUAAAAUAGGACGUGCGGUUCUAUUUUGUUGGUUUUUGGAAUCGCCGUAAUGAUUAAUAGGGACAGUCGGGGGCAUUAGUACUCACAUGCUAGAGGUGAAAUUCUUGGAUUUUGUGAAGACUAACUUCUGCGAAAGCAUUUGCCAAGGAUGUUUUCGUUAA